UACGUAGGGCGCAAGCGUUGUCCGGAAUUAUUGGGCGUAAAGAGCUCGUAGGCGGCUUGUCACGUCGGGUGUGAAAGCCCGGGGCUUAACCCCGGGUCUGCAUUCGAUACGGGCUGGCUAGAGUGUGGUAGGGGAGAUCGGAAUUCCUGGUGUAGCGGUGAAAUGCGCAGAUAUCAGGAGGAACACCGGUGGCGAAGGCGGGUCUCUGGGCCGUAACUGACGCUGAGGAGCGAAAGUGUGGGGAGCGAACAGG
rnacentral:rRNA from 1 species